rnacentral:rRNA from 1 species
UAGGGAAUCUUCCGCAAUGGGCGAAAGCCUGACGGCGCAACGCCGCGUGAGUGAUGAAGGUCUUCGGAUCGUAAAACUCUGUUAUUAGGGAAGAACAAAUGUGUAAGUAACUAUGCACGUCUUGACGGUACCUAAUCAGAAAGCCACGGCUAACUACGUGCCAGCAGCCGCGGUAAUACGUAGGUGGCAAGCGUUAUCCGGUAUUAUUGGGCGUAAAGCGCGCGUAGGCGGUUUUUUAAGUCUGAUGUGAAAGCCCACGGCUCAACCGUGGAGGGUCAUUGGAAACUGGAAAACUUGAUUGCAGAAGAGGAAAGUGGAAUUCCAUGUGUAGCGGUGAAAUGCGGAGAGAUAUGGAGGAACACCAGUGGCGAAGGCGACUUUCUGGUCUGUAACUGACGCUGAUGUGCGAAAGCGUGGGGAUCAAACAGG